rnacentral:rRNA from 1 species
CCUACGGGAGGCAGCAGUGAGGAAUAUUGGUCAAUGGGCGCGAGCCUGAACCAGCCAAGUCGCGUGAGGGCGGACGGCCCUACGGGUUGUAAACCUCUUUUGCCCGGGAGCAACGGGCGCCACGUGUGGCGUCACUGCGAGUACCCGGAGAAAAAGCAUCGGCUAACUCCUUGCCAGCAGCCGCGGUAUUACGGAGGCUGCGAGCGUUAGCCGGAUUUAUUGGGUUAAAAGGGUGCGUAGGCGGAUCGUGAAGUCAGUGGUAAAAUUGAGGGGCUAAACCCCUUCCCGCAAUUGAACCUGGCGGGCUGGAGUGGAAGAGAAGGAUGCGGAAUGCGUGGUGUAGCGGUGAAAUGCAUAG